GAUGAACGCUGGCGGCGUGCCUAAUACAUGCAAGUCGAGCGAACGGACGAGAAGCUUGCUUCUCUGAUGUUAGCGGCGGACGGGUGAGUAACACGUGGAUAACCUACCUAUAAGACUGGGAUAACUUCGGGAAACCGGAGCUAAUACCGGAUAAUAUUUUGAACCGCAUGGUUCAAAAGUGAAAGAGGGUCUUCCUGCACCUUAAAAAGGGAUCCGCGCUGUUUUAGCUAGUUGGUAAGGUAACGGCUUACCAAGGCAACGAUGCAUAGCCGACCUGAGAGGGUGAUCGGCCACACUGGAACUGAGACACGGUCCCGACUCCUACGGGAGGCAGCAGUAGGGAAUCUUCCGCAAUGGGCGAAAGCCUGACGGAGCAACGCCGCGUGAGUGAUGAAGGUCUUCGGAUCGUAAAACUCUGUUAUUAGGGAAGAACAUAUGUGUAAGUAACUGUGCACAUCUUGACGGUACCUAAUCAGAAAGCCACGGCUAACUACGUG
rnacentral:rRNA from 1 species